GCGCUCGUAGCUCAGUCGGAUAGAGCACCUGCCUUCUAAGCAGGUUGUCGCUGGUUCGAUUCCAGCCGAGCGCA
rnacentral:tRNA from 1 species